rnacentral:rRNA from 1 species
AGAGUUUGAUCAUGGCUCAGGAUGAACGCUGGCGGUCUGCUUAACACAUGCAAGUCGAACGAACUCUUCGGAGUGAGUGGCGGACGGGUGAGUAACGCGUGAGAAUCUACCUGUGGGUCGGGGACAACCACUGGAAACGGUGGCUAAUACCGGAUGAGCCGAAAGGUAAAAGAUUUAUUGCCCACAGAUGAGCUCGCGUCUGAUUAGCUAGUUGGUAAGGUAAAAGCGUACCAAGGCGACGAUCAGUAGCUGGUCUGAGAGGAUGAGCAGCCACACUGGGACUGAGACACGGCCCAGACUCCUACGGGAGGCAGCAGUGGGGAAUUUUCCGCAAUGGGCGAAAGCCUGACGGAGCAAGACCGCGUGGGGGAGGAAGGUUUUUGGAUCGUAAACCCCUUUUGUCAAGGAAGAAGCUCUGACGGUACUUGACGAAUAAGCCUCGGCUAACUCCGUGCCAGCAGCCGCGGUAAUACGGAGGAGGCAAGCGUUAUCCGGAAUGAUUGGGCGUAAAGCGUCUGUAGGUGGCCAGCUAAGUCUGCUGUUAAAGAUCACAGCUCAACUG